AUUGAACGCUGGCGGCAUGCCUUACACAUGCAAGUCGAACGGUAACAGGUUAAGCUGACGAGUGGCGAACGGGUGAGUAAUGUAUCGGAACGUGCCCAGUCGUGGGGGAUAACUGCUCGAAAGAGCAGCUAAUACCGCAUACGACCUGAGGGUGAAAGCGGGGGAUCGCAAGACCUCGCGCGAUUGGAGCGGCCGAUAUCAGAUUAGGUAGUUGGUGAGGUAAAGGCUCACCAAGCCGACGAUCUGUAGCUGGUCUGAGAGGACGACCAGCCACACUGGGACUGAGACACGGCCCAGACUCCUACGGGAGGCAGCAGUGGGGAAUUUUGGACAAUGGGCGCGAGCCUGAUCCAGCCAUGCCGCGUGCGGGAAGAAGGCCUUCGGGUUGUAAACCGCUUUUGUCAGGGAAGAAAAGGUUCUGGCUAAUACCUGGGACUCAUGACGGUACCUGAAGAAUAAGCACCGGCUAACUACGU
rnacentral:rRNA from 1 species